UUCUCCCGCCUCGCACUCACGCCUGCGCACAGACCGGGACAAGGGGGACGCAUGCGCACCAGUGGCGGCUCGGAGAGGUCGCCCUGCAGGGCAAAGUCUCAGCUCGUUUGCAGGUUACAGCCAUAUCUGGGGACCCACGUUUUCCACUCUGGCUACACAUCCUGCGAACAAUCGCCUCUCCAGAGCCUGAAUGGAAAGCGAGCGCCCCAUCUCUGCUGAAUGGCCGUCUCAGUUCAUCUGAGGCUGGAGGGCUUUUGAUGGCCACAAUACAAGUUACGCCCAAAGAGUGUCUCUUUGGUCAGAUCGGCAACGCUUGGUUUCACGUUUGCAAGUUAAACGGGCAAAAACCCAGCUGAAACUCCCACGCCAGACGCCAAGGACAUUUCUCUCCACCCUGCUCAGAGCAAAACUAGGGAAAGGGUCUGGGCAGGGGGAGGAAAGGGGGGUGCUGGCAGGGAGGAGGGGUGGAGGAGAAUGGGGUCCUGAUUCUCAGCAGCAGUCUAGAAGUAGGUGGGGAAAUGCAUUUUCUCUGGCAUUUCUUUCUUGUAUUUUUUUUAUAUUUUUCUUUGUUGACAGCUUUACCCAAACAAAAACUAAAACGAGAGCAUUUUCUCCUUGUCUUCACCUAGGUAGCUGUUUUCCUCCAGCCCCCGAAAAUGUGACUCCUUCAUAAAAUCAAAAUUUAUGAUUAUUCAAAUGUUGGGGACUGUGAAAAGAGAGGAAGAAAGAGAGAAAAUUAAUAUUGCAGCUGUUCUUCUGAUUAAUGAGAGAUAAUUGCUCAUGAGAAGUCACCCCUGUGGCAUUUUGUUGUCUCCUGGAUCUUUGUUCUUUUCCACUAUUAUUGAGGACUUUCUUGAAGACUAAGCGGUUCUUUUCAAUUUUUGGGUAUUCAGAAAGGGUUGCCUGGUUACAGAGAAUGGGGAAAUCUCGGGCUAUAUCGGGUAAGAUGUGCCACAGACAGCAAUAUCACAAUGCCACUUGGAGAAAAGGAUGGAUACAAGUUAACGAUGCGUUUUCAAUAAAACAUUCAUAGACUU